UUACUGAAGAAAUAAUUGCGCUGUCUAUACUACACGUGUAAGGUUAAGUUACCUUAAUUUUAUAAUCAAUCUUUGUUUAAAAAAUAGAUUGAUAAAUAUGUUUGAUCCUAUAGCUUUUUAUAGUGAUAUACUUUCAUUAUAUAUAACACUUAUGUUGAAUUAAUAUCAAUAUUCAAAUGAUAUUCAAGAAAAUCAUUAGCGUAACCAUAUUCUCAAUAUAUAUAGAUAUAUCAUAAAAUAAUAUUUUACUAUAAUGUCUUUAUUACGAAUUAUUCGAUAUAACGAAUUAUUCUUUAUUUUUCCUUUAACUACAAGUCGUUUUUUUAGAGAACUCUUUCUAAAUAAUCCGUCCAAAAGAAAUAAUUAUGUCAUCGUUCAAUUCAAGAGAGAUUUCAAUGCCACAGUUAGUUCAUCUAUUAAAGAAGAGUACAAGAAACAAAAGAUUCUAUCAAACAUUUAUAAAGUUGGUUGAAGAACAUUAGCAACAGAUGUAACUAAACAUGAAAAAUAAAUAUAAAACAAGUUUUAUGCGAAGCAAAUAAACAAAAUAAUGAAGUAACAAGAGGUACUGACCAAUCACAUUUUUCAUGGAAAGACUUUUUGGAGUAUUUAUAUCCACAUAUUUGGUAUUUAUUGAUUUCUUUGUCAGUAAGUAUGAAAAUAUUGAUAAAAACUAAAUCAAGCGUACACAAUACAAUUAUCUUCCUUUAAAUGUUUAUAAAAAUGAUAUAACAACAAAUACUCUAAUCAAAUUAGAUUAUAGAUAGAUAUAAAAUUUAUUUAUCGACCAACAGAAAUUCAAUUUAUUAGGUAAUAUAAAUUUAAUUAAUUGUGCAAGUGUUGCGGUACCGGAUGAGAUAUUUUCUACCGUCUUUGUGUAAAUCCAUAUUGUUUCACUACAUACUGUAUAUUUUUUUAUUUGUAGAGCGCCUUAAUGGUUACAAUAUUAAAUUCUUGGAUACCGCAAUCUAUUGGUAAUAUUAUAAAUAUUGUGACAAAAAUAGUCCAAGACAAAAAGAUGAUUCUACAUUGAAUACUUUGGAAAUACUUCUUAGACCAACAUUUGUGCUGGCACAUAUAUAUGUUGCACAAGUAUGCACAUUUUAUAUAUCUUCAAAAAUUUCAAAUAUAUAUUCAAAAUAUGUACAUCGCAAGGCUAAAGAAGUUCUACACAAAUUGUUGGUUGUGUUAUUUCUGUAAUAAUGUUAUAGCCUCAGUUGAGAGUAUCAAUGUUAUUAUGUAUGCCAACAGUUACAUUUAUUGGUAAUCUAUUAGGAAAAAACUUGCGUAAGAUUUCUACAAAAACUCGAAAUCAAAUUGUGGAAUCUGCUGUCUUUGAAGAAGUUAUCCAUAAUAUACCAAUGGUAAAUUAAGAAUUAUUCUAUACUUUAAAAUCUGCUCAAAUGCUAUACCAAUGGAAGAUUGAUACGUUGACCAUAACACCGAAAUUACUUGUUUUGAUGUUACGAAAGUAUUUUUAUUAUUCUAAACAUAUAAUGACAAAAUAAUUAUAAAAAUGGUUGUAUAAACAUGAGCAAGAAUGUUAUUUUAAAGUAUUUUCUAAUUAGUCAUGUUGUCGAAAAUUCAGUGACUGUCAAUGUUCUUUCAACUUUUACAAUUAUAAACAUUUGAAGUACUUUGGUGACCGAUGACUAUAGUGAAACAAGUGCGGUUACAUAUGACCACCGUGGCGAUCAACGUAUUAAUUUGUAUAAUGAUCUUUUUCUUUUUUACAGGUAAAAAAGUUUGCAGCAGGAAAUCUGGAAACAGAAGUAUUUUCUAAAGAAGUUGAACAUGCAAUUGAGUUAUAUGAAAAUUUAGAAUUUGGUAACGGUUUGUUUUUUAGCAGGAACAGAUUUAUUUUGAAAUAGUAUUUUGCUUCGUUCAUUGUACUUUAGUGAUCAUUUAAUAUCUAUUGGACAAUUAACAUUUGGCGAACUUAUGGUAUUUUUGAUGGCAAUUGAAAUAGAUCAAUGAUUUUUCUCUCAACUAUCUUUAUUGCUUGGCACAUACGUAAGUGGAAUCAAUUCAAGUGCCUGAAUUUUUAAAGUAUUCUAUUAUUUUUACUUGCAAGAUUUUACAUAUAUCGUUUAUAAUCGAUUUGAAAUUUAUUUUAUUGUACUUAAAUAUGCCACCAUCACCAAUGAUGGUCGGAGGAAAGACAAGAAAGGACUCUCAGGGAAUGUAGAAUUUAAAAAUUUGAAAUUUAACUAUCCUAGUCGAUCGAAUCAUGUUAUUUUGAAGAAUUUUAAUUUGGAUAUUCUUUCUUUAUGAUGUCGACGAAGGUAGCAUAUCUGUUGAUAAAUGGGACAUUAGGUCUUUUCAUUCUAGCUAUCUUAGAGGUAUUGUAUUAGCACAUAUAAAUUAAGAACCUGUACUUUUUACGACUAGUAUAAUGGGGAAUAUUUGUCAUGGAAAACAAGAUGUGACGGACGAGAAGAUCAUAAAAGCGGCAAAAGAAGCUAAUGCUCAUGAAUUCAUUACAAAAUUUCCAAGAAGUUAUGAAACUUAAAAUGACGAGAGAGGCGUAAUAUUAUUUGGUGGAUUAAAGCAAUCAUCGAUUUUAACAUUAGUCUAAACAACGAUAUGUAAAGAAACUAAAUAUAAUUAGUCACGUAUCUUAUUCUGUAUUCUAUAUGAAUUUUAUCUUUUUUAAAUUUAAUGUAUUGAAUUAUGAAAACGAAAAAAUGGUUCACAAUGCGUUAGAAAAUUAACUAGAAAUAGGUUAGUUAUUGCUCAUAGACUAAGUACUAUUAAACCUGCUUACGUUAUUAUUGUAUUACAAUAUGUUAUUGUAGAGAUAGGUUGAAAAAUGAAUCGCUGUUCUUUUACUAUCUGCGCACAGCUACUUUAUCUUGCAA